rnacentral:tRNA from 1 species
GUGGUAUUAGCUCAAUGGUAGAGCACUUGCCUGUGGAGCAAGGGGCUGGCGGUUCGAAUCCGCUAUACCACCCCA